UCUCAGCCUGUCUUCAUACAGGAGGUGCUCCAGUCCCCUGAUCAUCCUCGUGGCCCUUCUCUGGACUUGUUCCAACAGUUCCAUGUCCUUUUUAUGUUGAGGACACCAGAACUGCACACAAUACUCCAGCUGAGGUCUCACAAGAGCCGAGUAGAGGGGCAGGAUCACCUCCUUUGUCCUGCUGGUCACGCUCCUUUUGAUGCAGCCCAGGAUACGGUUGGCUUUCUGGACUGCGAGCACACACUGCAGGCUCAUGUUCAUUUUCUCAUCGACCAACACCCCCAAGUCCUUCUCUGCAGAGCUGCUCUGAAUCUCUUCUGUGCCCACCCUGUAGCUGUUCCUGGGAUUGCUCCAACCCAGGUGUAGGACCUUGCACUUGGCAUGGUUAAACUUCAUAAGGUUGGCAUCAGCCCACCUCACAAUGUGUCAAGGUCCCUCUGGAUGGCAUAAACAUCUCUGGAUAUACAUAAACAGCUUUUGCAAACUAUAUAUAUUUGAUAUUUCUGUUCUACUCACAGCCCACGGAAUUUCAUCCUUAGUGCAUUACAGAGCACCUGCGUAUGUUUCCAGCUGGUAGAACCUGCAUGCAUCUAAUCAAAUCUACCCGUUGCUAAAAGGAGUACACUCUAAUGCAUUAAACAGUUCUUUAUCAUUUACUGUCAAGUAAGGGAGGGGAAGAAAGACAGCAGUUUUAACAUAUUACUCUUAGAAGAUGUUGACAGUUCUGACCAACUGAGUCACAAUUGCGCUUAGUGACCAACAAGUCAUACUCAGGGCACUGAACUAGUAAGUGUACAUUUACUUACAGUGCAUCAGGUGUAUGUAUUACCAGUGAAAAAAAAAGAACAAAAAAAACAAAGUCCAUCUAACUUAAAUGUUAUAUGCAGCCUAACGUGCACUCAACAUAAAUUGUUACGAAUGCUGCCUCAAGGGCAUGUGAUUUCCUGCACCUCUGCUACUGGACAGCAGACAAUCAGAAUUCUCUCCAGCUUCAAGUACAUGUGAACUGCCCAUAAUCAUUUCAAUUCCUGUACAAAUUGCAUUCUGUGGCUAGCUUUCUCAGCGCCUUAGUAAAUUUAACUUGAUUAUAACUGGAAGCAUCUGGCUAUGAUUUAGGCAUGCUUAUUGCUGU